rnacentral:hammerhead_ribozyme from 1 species
AUCCAGAUGACGAGUCCCAAAUAGGAGGAAAUGCGCAUCCUAGAU